UUUCCACGUUUCUUAAGAAGUUAAAACUCAAUUUUAUUUCCCUCCACUGAAGCUCCCCUCCUCCGAGCCAGGGGCCGCCUCCGGUGGCGGAGGAUUCUUAAUCUUAAAAAAAAAUACAUCAUCGUCUUCCUCUCCUUGCCCCGAGUCUGAAUCCUAUGUCCAAACUCCCUAAUUCCUUAACAAUCAUUCAAAUUGAAACAAACUACACAUGAACCCUAGAUCACCAAAUGAGAAAUUAAAUGACACUCUUCCAGAAUGAAAGCCCAAGGGGUUAGGGAUUUGAUUCCCCUAACCUUAAUCUAUACUCUGGUAAAUCAUACGCUACAAAAUAAAGAAGAUGAUGAAGAGUCACCGGAGCGGCACAAGAGUCAGGUUUUGGUUAUGUAUUGACAUGUUAAUAGUUUGGAAUGGACAUGGCGUGUAGCAAGGCAAGACUUGGUUCAUGGCAAAGGCAAAAUGACCUAAGUUCAAAGCAUGGUGACCAAAGUUGCAAGAUCGGAGUUUUCUUGGAUGUGAAGUAAUAUGGAAGCUUAUGGAAUCAAGCAUGGAUGUAGAUGCACUCAAAAUUAGGUUUAGGAUGAAGAAAUGCAAAAGGUUGACUUUGAUCAACUAUUUGACCACAAAGUCAACAAUUGACCCAAAAGUCAACUCUUGAAAAAUGUAUAUAUAUAUUUUUUUUAUUUCUUUGUAAUGGAAUAUGUAUGCUUUUAUGAAUGAAUGAAAAAAAUCAAUUAUUUUUUAUGAAAUAAA